GACGAACGCUGGCGGCGUGCCUAACACAUGCAAGUCGAGCGAACAGACGACGUUCGUGCUCCUCGGACGUUAGCGGCGGACGGGUGAGUAACAUGUGCAUAACUUACCUACAAGACUGGGACAACAUCGGGAAACCAAUGCCAAUACGGGAUAAUAUCUUGAAGGGCAGGGUUCAAUAGUGUAAGACGGUUUUGAUGUAACUUCUAGAUGUAUCCGCGCCGCAUUGGCUGUUUGGUACGGUAACGGCUUACCAAGGCGACGAUGCGUAGCCGACCUGAGAGGGGGAUCGGCGACACUGGAACUGAGACACGGUCCAGAGUCCUACGGGAGGCAGCGGUAGGGAAUGUUCGGAGAUGGGCGGAAGCCUGACGGAGGAGCGCAGGGUGAGUGCUGAAAGGCUUCGGACCGUAAAACUCUGUUAUUGGGGAAAAACGAAUGUGUAAGGAACUAAGCUCGUCGUGACGGUACCUGAACAAGAAGCAACGGCUAACUACGUG
rnacentral:rRNA from 1 species